AUUAUUUUUUAAAAAAUAAAUUGAAUUCAUUUAUAUACUUAUAUGCAUACAUAUUUUGUAUUUUACUUACUUAUAGAAUAUAUUAUGAAUUCAGUAUGAACUACACUGGACUCUAUUGACAGCUUUAACCCUAUAUCUAAACUUCACUACUACUGAGGAGAGAAUUAGAUACAACGUACAAAUACCUGUAUCUCUUCCUCCUCAAUUGUGGUGACCCCCUCUAUACAUCUCAUUGUCCGCACCUGUUAAAAUCAAGUGGAUCUGGCUUCCACUGAUUGAAAGUGCAGCAGUCAAUGCCUUCCGCCCGCAUCGGGUUCGCCUCCGCUACUUUCUUGGCAGCUUGUUCUGCCAUGGUUUUUGAGCUUUUUAAACACAUAUUGACCAUUACAUGUAAAUAAGGAACAGAAGUAUCAUGCAAGCCCUGAUGAAGCACACCUAAGUGCGAAACUAGUU